AGAUUAAUGCCAUAAUAUUAUGAGAAUUCAAUUGUAAUAUUUGAUAUUAAAGUAAACGUUUUUUUAGAGUGGCCCUAAAAGGUCAUAGUAGUGUCUCAAGGUUGUAAAAUAAAGCUAAAUUAGCUAACAUUAACUAUAUUAAAUAAAUCUUACAUUAGAAAAACACUGGUACAUUGAUAAAGCUGAAAAUGGAUACAGUAUCUUGAAUGGGCAGUCUGGUGGCCUUUUCCUCUGAGAGGUUCUCAGUGUUCGAGCGUCUUUGGUAAAAGCUGUCAGCCGCUGCUUUGAUGGCUGUGGAGCAGUUGACAGAGGUAAUGGGGAGCCAAAUGUCAGCGGAUAAGAGGAGGAACAUGGAUGCUGGUUGCCCCGCAACUGAAGGGUGAAGAAGCUGGGGAGCAGUUUGACAGAAAUCAAAGGAAGGCCACUUGAAGAUGCCUGGAAAGGUUGUAGAGUAUGGUACUGAUGCUGCGCUGUUUAAGGAAGAUGAGGGAGACACAGAUAUUAAUAUUGCAAAGAUGAGAGACGCAAAUACUGAUUGGAGACCCUACCUGGAGACCGUAGGGGUUUCAUACACUGAACUUUGUUUAAAGAAAUCAGACCCAGAAUGCACUGCUCCAAAGCACGGUGACGUUUCUCCGAGGUGUUUUCCAGAAGGUUCUCCUCACCAGUCUCUUUGGUUUGGUUUUACAUUUUUUGUACAUUCUGAGUUUUAUUUCAAUAAAAAAAUGUAAGCAAUAAUUUCUGCUGCAUAUGAAUAUUUAUAGCACUGGGGUGAAAUGGAUGCUGAUGAUGGGUUCUGCUGAUAGUAAUUUAGUAGUAAUUUUGAUAGAAAUGUAUUUUGUGUUACUAGUGUUAAUAAAAAAAAUGAUUGUGGAUACUAUAGUUGUUAAAAAUGAAUUCUGUCUAUUAAUGUAAUAAGAAAUUCAUUCUGUAAUAGUAAUGUUCAAAAUUAAUAAAUUCUUCAUUCAGGAUUUCUUGUUAUUAAAGCUUCAUUCUAGAUUUUUAUGUUAUAAAAUUAUUAUAAAUAUGUUAUAAAUAUAAUUUGUUAGAAUUGAUUCUGGAUUUUAUUG